AUGUAGUGUGACAUGCCCGUUUGGGAUUUACUCUGAUGAUUAAUUAGUAUUUAAUUGCUAUUUGGGUAACGGGGUGUUACAACGACA
rnacentral:pre_miRNA from 1 species